rnacentral:lncRNA from 13 species
GAGGUGAAGAGAAAGGAAUUUGAGAACCUAUGUGCCAGAAAUUAUGAUAGGGAUGUUCAUGCAAACUUUUAUUUAUCAUUAUUAUUAGUAGUAUUAUUAUUGAGACAGGAUCUUUCUGUGUUGCCCAGGUUAAAGUGCAUAGCUAUAUUCACUGGCACUAUUACAGCAUACUGCAGCCUUGAACUCCUGGCCUCAAGCAAUUCUUCUGCUUACCUCCCAAGCAGAUGGGACUACAGACAACAGAGAUGCCGAACCCACAUCUCUGUCUUCUUUUGGGCCUGCCACACAUCAGUCUUCUGCCUGAACAUUCCAAAGAGCAGCAUGCAAAGAAGAAAGCUGCCAUAUAGCUUGAAGAUGUUGAUCUUUCUCUCCUAUGACAGGAUUGUUUGACGGUAAUAGAUGAAAAGGUCAGAGUCUUUCUCUUCCCACUACCCACUACCCAACCAAGACACUACCAAACUCUUCAGAAUAUUGAAUUGUGGUUCAAACAUACAUGUAGAGUGAAGAUUUACUUUGAAAGGGCAUGGAUAUGAAACCAAAAGCACAGCCAACAAAUUAAAAAAUAAACAACUGGGAUUAUAUUGAACUAAAAAAGCU